GUUAAAAUUGCUAAGUGUGCAAUCUUUAGAAGUAGAAGUAGCACCUGGACUGAGAUAAAAGAGUGAGGAUAAAAGCUUGAUUUGCACAAGAAAUGAAGCUUGGCACCUAUCCUCCACCUGACCUUGUUGGAAAAUCUGGGCCAUCUGGGUCUGGCAGUCAAAGACUUAUGCUAUCUUGUGCAGCAGCUGAAGGUGUAAUGUUAUCCAAUGUGACAUCUGAAGACAACUACUUCUGCCUGAAAUAAAGUAACUGAGACUACUGGAGCCUUGGGUUAUCAUUCAGAUUUUUCUUGAACACUGAGAUGAAAUUGCAGCAUCAGUUUUCUUUGUCACAAAAUUGGCAGAGUACUUGAAAGACUGAGUAUAACACAUGGAAGACUUUGCAUUAGAGGGUAAACAUACAGUGAUGGAGCUUUAAAAGAAUUGAGAGAAACAAUAAUCUAAGUAAAUGCCAUUUUAGAAAUGCAUUGCUCUGAGAAGGACAUGGUGUUUCUUAGAUAAGACUUUCAAAGUAAAGUACUGUAUGGUUCAAAGAUCACUUUCACUGAUCUUUGAUAUAUACCAUGGGUAUGGUAAGAAAAACUAUCCAUCUACAAUUGCUUCUUUGGCAGGCAUAUUGGAAAAAUAUUAAUCAUUAUGUUUUGUGAUUAAUAGAGCUACAUUAGACCAU